rnacentral:lncRNA from 1 species
UUCAUACGUCUGUUGGCUGCAUAAACGUCCUCUUUUGAGAAGUGUCUGUUUAUAUCCUUUUACAUAUUUUCUAUCUCAUAUUUCUGUGGUGCAUUCUAGAUAGUUUCUGCAUCUCUAUCUUAUAAUUUAGUAACUCAUCUUCAAGUUGUACAUGAUCUAAACUUUUAGGCUAUUGGUUUUGACAGACAUAUGGCUUCUGUUUGGUUCUUUCUCAAAUAUGCCUGCUUCUUAUUCACUGUUCAUGUCUUUUUAUUAUUUCCUUUUGUAAUGCCUUUAAUCAUUUCAGAUGUUUUUGUAAUUUUCACCUACAGUUUGACUCUCUUAAAUUAUCCAAAUUCUAAUCUGUUGUUACUUUGCCUGCUCACUGUUUACCCAUGACAUGCUGGCACUAGACCCAUGUGCUGUGUGCUUGUGUAUUUCAUCAUUUUUAAUGGAUGUAUGAUUUACACAGUAAAAGGAAUAGAACUUACAGUUUUCUGAGUUUUAAUAAAUCAGCAAACCUGCAACCAUCAUUAUUUAAGAAAUUUUCUUUACAAACAGCCCCAAUUAACUGCUACCCAGAGAUUUCCAUGACUACAAUCAUAAUACUGCUCCAUUCCUCCAUCUUUUUACCAUGCCAAACUGUUGGAUAGGACUUUAAUCUGUGUGCUAAUUCUGACAGCAACGCCUGUGGCAGCAAAGGCUGGAGUCUAAUGGCACAAUCUCCACUCACUGCAACCUCCACCUCCUGGGUUCAAGCAAUUCUCCCUGUCUCAGCCUCCCGAGUAGCUGGGAUUACAGGCACACAUCACCAGGCCCAGCUAAUUUUGUAUUUUUAGUAGAGACGGGGUUUCACUAUGUUGGCCAGGCUGGUCUUGAACUCCCAACCUCAGGUGAUCCGCCCGUCUCUGCUUCCCAAAGUGCUCGGAUUACAGGCGUGAGCCACUGCGCCCGGCCCGGAUAUGUUUAACUUUGUAAGAAACUGCCAGAUUGCCUUCCAAAGAUGCGGUAUCAUUUUGUAUUUACAUUACCAAUAAAUGAGAGUUCUUGUUUUUCCAUAUCUGCAUUGGCAUUUGAGGUUGCCAAUUUUUGGUUUUUAGCCAUUCUAAUAGGUGUGUAGUGGUGUCCCAGUGUUGCUUUAAUUUGUAAACUUCUAGUGACAUAUGAUGUUGAGCAUGCUUUCAUAUGCUUAUGUGCCAUCUGUAUAUUUGUUUGGUGAGGUGUAUGUUCUUAUCUUUUCCUCACUAUUAUCUGAUUUGUUCAUUUUCUUUAUUGUUACAUUUUUAUAUUUAUUUGUAU